rnacentral:rRNA from 1 species
UACAGAGGGGGCAAGCGUUGUUCGGAAUUACUGGGCGUGAAGGGCGCGUAGGCGGCCUGUUAAGUCGAACGUGAAAUCCCCGGGCUCAACCCGGGAACUGCGUCCGAUACUGGCAGGCUUGAAUCCGGGAGAGGGAUGCGGAAUUCCAGGUGUAGCGGUGAAAUGCGUAGAUAUCUGGAGGAACACCGGUGGCGAAGGCGGCAUCCUGGACCGGCAUUGACGCCUGAGGCGCGAAAGCCAGGGGAGC